GGGGAAUUGUUCGCAAUGGGCGCAAGCCUGACGACGCAACGCCGCGUGGAGGAUGAAGAUCUUCGGGUCGUAAACUCCUUUCGAUCGGGAAGAACGUUUUCCGGCCUAACACGCCGGAGAAGUGACGGUACCGAGAGAAGAAGCCCCGGCUAACUCUGUGCCAGCAGCCGCGGUAAUACGUAGGGUGCGAGCGUUAAUCGGAAUUACUGGGCGUAAAGUGUGCGCAGGUGGCCGCGCAAGUCGAGUGUGAAAUCCCCGGGCUUAACUUGGGAAUUGCGCUCGAAACUACGUGGCUCGAGUGUGGCAGAGGAAGGUGGAAUUCCACGUGUAGCGGUGAAAUGCGUAGAGAUGUGGAGGAACACCGAUGGCGAAGGCAGCCUUCUGGGCCAACACUGACGCUCAUGCACGAAAGCGUGGGGAGCAAA
rnacentral:rRNA from 1 species